GGGUGGUUUGGAAGUGCUGGUUCUAGUAUCAAAGACCCACACAUGGAUGUAGCUCAGAAUGCUUUUGUGCCCGGGAAAAAGUUUGGGGUGAUGUGGUUCUGUCACCUAAAGGGUCAGUCAGCUGGGCUGGUGAGAACAAUGCUCUUGGCUGGAAGUAGCAAAGAAAAUUGCGAGUCACUUUCAGUUAUUUUCUGCCUCUUUCAUGGGCUUUUCUAGACAAUUUCCUUGUUUUCUUCCCUUGAGGUCUGGUCUCAUUCUUCCAGCAAUGACGUGGUGGAUUUAAAAAACGUCCACCAUAGUCUUUUGCCAUUCCUCCCUCCAAGAAACAGAGGCUAAUUUCCUACUCUCUUCACACAUAGAAUAUGGAAGAAGUGGCAGUGAGGAACUUCCCAGGCCAGGUCAGAAAAGGCACUGUGGCUUCCCCUCUGUCCUCUCUUGAUCACUUGCUCUAGGGCUCCUGCUGCUGUGGUGUGGGACCUUCGAGCAGCCUGUGGAAGUCAUCCUGUGAGGAACUGUGGCCUCCCCCAAGCAGCGCAUAUUGGAGGCAGAGGCUUCAGCCCCAGUCAAACCCUCAGAUGAUGGCAGCCCCAGCCAACGUCAUGACGCAGCCUCUGGAGAGACCCUGAGCCAGGGCCACCCACCCGAACUUACCCUGGAUCCUGACCCACAGAAACUGCAAGUCGAUAAAGGCACUGGGCUAAAUGCAUCAAAAGGAUCUCACCAUCUUCCCAGCAGCCCACAGGGAGCAGAGGUUUUCAUUACCAUCAUUCUCAGAGGACACGACUGGGGCUCAGAGAGGGGAAGAAACCUCUCCAGCUUGCACAGCUGAGUCAUUCCCCAAAUGGAUGAGACCCCAGCACAGGAGAAAUGCAUGACAGCCAGAUAAUAAACCUGCAUAUCAGAACUGUCAGAUCGUCUUCAGAGCAAAAGGCAACAUGCUCUCCCGAGAACCCAUGCUCUUAACCAGUGCAUUGAGCUGCCUAUUUUCUCACACCUAUAGCAACAUGAAAUUGACAAAUAUUUUGAUCAUAGCCAACU
rnacentral:lncRNA from 10 species